GUACCUCUCCUUGGGGAGAGGUCGGAACCGCGUAGCGGUUCCGGGUGAGGGG
rnacentral:sRNA from 1 species